UCACAACCGAUGUCUCAACAUCAGGGAACCAGGAUGAGUAACCAUCAGAAGAAGAAAUUCUAGAGAUGGAGAUGUCACCACUGUGGUAGAUUUGGUCACAUAAAACCCUUCUGCUAGAGGCUGCACGGUUAUCCUAACCAGACUACUCAAGUCAGACCUAAGCAGAAGGCAUCUAAGCAUAAUGCCCCCAUUAAGAAACAAAAAUGGGCUGCUAAUCAGACACCUCUAGUCAGACCUAAGCAGCAGGCACCUAAGCUUAA
rnacentral:lncRNA from 1 species